UACGAAGGGGGCUAGCGUUGUUCGGAAUUACUGGGCGUAAAGCGCGCGCAGGCGGUCUUCCAAGUCAGUGGUGAAAGCCCGGAGCUCAACUCCGGAAUUGCCAUUGAAACUGUUGGACUUGAGGAUGAGAGAGGUGAGUGGAAUUCCCAGUGUAGAGGUGGAAUUCGUAGAUAUUAGGAAGAACACCAGUGGCGAAGGCGGCUCACUGGUCCGGUACUGACGCUGAGGUGCGAAAGCGUGGGGAGCAAACAGG
rnacentral:rRNA from 1 species